GCGAUGACUAAGAUGUCAGUGCUGGCCAAAGGGGGCGCCGAGAAGCUGAAGGAAAGAAGACGCAGAAUGUUAGAUUAAAGGAGGCAGGAUGGGCUAAAUACUCCUAUACAGUCCACGCAAAGAGGGGUUGGACGAGCUCGGAGAGAAAGAAAAUGAUAUAUGUCAGAAACUCAGAUAUCCGUAAAGAAAGAAAGCAUUGGGAAAAGAAUAAAUGAAGGCCUGUGGGAGCUGAGGCUGGAAGGACCUUGUAUGUCAUGCUGAGAAGUCUGGACUACAUGUCUUCAACUGAAGGUUUUCGAGGAGAGGGAUGUGAUUGGAUAUGUGUUGUAGAAAGAUAACUUUGCUUUUUAAGAAAA
rnacentral:lncRNA from 1 species